GAUCCUGGCUCAGGAUGAACGCUAGCGACAGGCUUAACACAUGCAAGUCGAGGGGCAGCACGGUGUAGCAAUACACUGGUGGCGACCGGCGCACGGGUGAGUAACACGUGUGCAACCAACCCCGUACCGGGAGAUAACCCGCGGAAACGUGGACUAACAUCCCAUAAGACUCUAGAGCCGCAUGGCUCUGGAUUUAAAAUUCCGGUGGUACGGGACGGGCACGCGCGACAUUAGGUAGUUGGCGGGGUAACGGCCC
rnacentral:rRNA from 1 species